rnacentral:lncRNA from 1 species
CCUUAACAGCCUCACUUAAUUCUAGUCUUACUAAAUAUAGAUCAGUCCCUCUGUCCCCAGAAUGGCCCUCCCCCCAUUUUCAGCAUGAGCCUGAGGGCUUACCUCCAACAUGACCACGCAGAUCUGUUUGACACACUCAAUGAUGGAUUGUGGAAUGCCAGCAAUAGUGAUGGCCCGCUCAGUUGAGUUGGGUAGCAUAUCCCCUGCCACCUGGACCUGAGCCCCUGUACUCUUUGGAGUAAAAAGAAAU